UCACUUGCAGGAUAAGAGCAUCAGGCAGUUAGAGGAGGGAACAGAAAAGUGGAAAGUGGCAGAUGCAGUCUGGACCAGACGAGAGGAGGAGCUGAUGAGUAGGACCUCACAACAGAAUAAAAGGUGAAAUGACCCGGGCCCAGCAGAUGGAACUGGACCUUGAAGAGACAGCUGGUGACCGUGAUGAUGACUCAUCUGAUGAAGACAGUACAGCUGCAGUAGCAACACUGUGCGAUAGGAAUGUGGAAAUACCAGAGCUGCAGUCACUUAUUAUCACCACUAGUGGGAAGCCUAAUGCUGGCAAUGGAUCAACAGCAAGUCCACAUACUGUGAGUUGCAUAGUACAUGAUGCACCGCACUGACAGUGAUGAUCAAUGUUCACUUUUCAGUUAUCUUGCUUUUAACUGGGUGUCUGACGUUAUUUCCACUCUACUUAUUCGCAAUCUAUUGAUCAAUCAUGUGACCAAUAGAUAACCCAUAUAUAUUUACCGUACCAUCUUUCUUUUUUACAAAAUAGCAUAUUCAUUCAUAGUGGACAUAGAAACUUAAAAGAGAAUUAUAAUUGACCAUAAACAAAAACCAUACAGCCAACUUUUCAGAAGGAUAUCCAAAUCCAUCUUCAACCAUCUAUGGGUUAAAAGGUUGAGUCUCAAUUUUUAAACAGAAAGCGGCUAAUUCUGUAUUCUUUGAACCUCAUUUAGAAACAAACCUAAAUAUAAAACAAUACUGUACUGUGCAAUGACUUUUUAUGUGACA